rnacentral:tRNA from 1 species
GACGGGUAGCUUAGGUUGGCUGGAGCACCCGGCUGAUAACCGGGAGGUCGCAGGUUC